CUGGAGGGGCCUCUGCUGGCCCUGAACAUAGAUGGUGCUGCUCCUGAAUCUUUAGCUGCCGUUUCCUCCUACUUUCCUAAGCCUUUCUCAGCAAAAGCAAAAUCACAAAUGGCCCAGCUCUCCAGAAGCCUUGUCCCUUCUUCUUAAGUGGCAUGGAGAUAAUACCUACAUAUUUAGUCCUUUAAGUGCCUGAUCCAGAAGAGUCCACAGAAAGCAAGUACUGGAGAGCAGAACUGCUAAGGACAUGCUUGAAUAAGUCAGAGUUUAUCCCCCGGACGCAGUGGGAGCCAAUGAACCCUCAGCCCAGCACAGGUGAACACAACAAAGUGGGCCCAUCGUUAAUUCAGCAAAUUACCGACUUAGUGCCAGGCACUGUAACAGACACAGAGGCCAAAAAGGAACACUGGGACUGGUAGGGGAAGAAUGCCUCAAGUGAGCAUGCGCAAAACUCCGGUACCCACACUGAGCAUGCUCCCCUCAGAAACACUGGCGGGUCACUGCGCAUGCGGGCAGCCCAUCCCAAGAGAAGAAUCCGGAGAGACCGGAUGCAAGUCCCUGGAAGUAUGCCAACAUCUAAAACCCAAAUUCCAACCUCAAA